UUUUUUAAGAGUUUGAUCCUAGCUCAGGAUGAACGCUGGCGGUGUGGAUAAGGCAUGCAAGUCAAACGGCUCGCAAGAGCAGUGGCGAACGAGGUAGUAACACGUGGGUACAUCCCCCAAAGUCAGGAAUAACUAGUCGAAAGAUUGGCUAAUACUUGAUAGUCUCUUCGGAGUAAAGAUUUAUCGCUUUGGGAAUGGCCUGCGGAGUAUCAGCUAGUUGGUAGUGUAAUGGACUACCAAGGCUAUGACGCUUAGGGGGAGUGAGAGCUUGGCCCCCACCGAUGGUACUGAGAAACGGACCAUACACCUACGGGUGGCCGCAGUCGAGAAUCUUCCGCAAUGGGCGAAAGCCUGACGGAGCGACACCGCGUGAUGGAUGAAGAC
rnacentral:ncRNA from 1 species